rnacentral:rRNA from 1 species
GGGACACGUGGUAUCCUGUCUGAAUAUGGGGGGACCAUCCUCCAAGGCUAAAUACUCCUGACUGACCGAUAGUGAACCAGUACCGUGAGGGAAAGGCGAAAAGAACCCCGGCGAGGGGAGUGAAAAAGAACCUGAAACCGUGUACGUACAAGCAGUGGGAGCACGCUUAGGCGUGUGACUGCGUACCUUUUGUAUAAUGGGUCAGCGACUUAUAUUCUGUAGCAAGGUUAACCGAAUAGGGGAGCCGAAGGGAAACCGAGUCUUAACUGGGCGUUAAGUUGCAGGGUAUAGACCCGAAACCCGGUGAUCUAGCCAUGGGCAGGUUGAAGGUUGGGUAACACUAACUGGAGGACCGAACCGACUAAUGUUGAAAAAUUAGCGGAUGACUUGUGGCUGGGGGUGAAAGGCCAAUCAAACCGGGAGAUAGCUGGUUCUCCCCGAAAGCUAUUUAGGUAGCGCCUCGUGAAUUCAUCUCCGGGGGUAGAGCACUGUUUCGGCAAGGGGGUCAUCCCGACUUACCAACCCGAUGCAAACUGCGAAUACCGGAGAAUGUUAUCACGGGAGACACACGGCGGGUGCUAACGUCCGUCGUGAAGAGGGAAACAACCCAGACCGCCAGCUAAGGUCCCAA